CGACCGCUGCUUUUGCAGCCGAGGCCAGACGGACAGCCGGGUCGAAUGCCGA
rnacentral:sRNA from 12 species